GGUUUUUUGAUUUAUUAAUAUAAGAUCUAAUCUGCCCAAUGAUUAAUAAUUAAAUGGCUGCAGUAUUUUGACUGUACAAAGGUAGCAUAAUCAUUUGUCUUUUAAUUGAGGACUGGAAUGAAUGAUUGAAUGAGAAUUAUACUUUCUUUAUUUUUUUAAUAAAAAUUUAAUUUUUAAGUUAAAAAGCUUAAAUGGAUUUAGGGGACGAGAAGACCCUAUAGAAUUUUACUCAUUAUUUUAUAAUUAUAGAUUAGUUUAUAUAUUAAUCAUAAAUAAAUGAGUUUGGUUGGGGUGAUUAAAAAAAUAUUUUAACUUUUUUUAUUUUUAACAUUUAUAUAUGUAAUUUUGAUUUAUUGUUUAUAAUUAUAAGAUUAAAUUACC
rnacentral:rRNA from 1 species